rnacentral:rRNA from 1 species
GAUGAACGCUAGCUACAGGCUUAACACAUGCAAGUCGAGGGGAAACGACAUCGCAAGCUUGCUUUUGAUGGGCGUCGACCGGCGCACGGGUGAGUAACGCGUAUCCAACCUGCCCACCACUUGGGGAUAACCUUGCGAAAGUAAGACUAAUACCCAAUGAUAUCUCUAGAAGACAUCUGAAAGAGAUUAAAGAUUUAUCGGUGAUGGAUGGGGAUGCGUCUGAUUAGCUUGUUGGCGGGGUAACGGCCCACCAAGGCAACGAUCAGUAGGGGUUCUGAGAGGAAGGUCCCCCACAUUGGAACUGAGACACGGUCCAAACUCCUACGGGAGGCAGCAGUGAGGAAUAUUGAUCAAUGGACGAGAGUCUGAACCAGCCAAGUAGCGUGCAGGAAGACGGCCCUAUGGGUUGUAAACUGCUUUUAUAAGGGAAUAAAGUGAGUCUCGUGAGACUUUUUGCAUGUACCUUAUGAAUAAGGACCGGCUAAUUCCGUG